AAUAAAUCAGCCUUCUGAUCAUGAGAUCAAGAUUCUCGUCUCUCUCUGCACCCCUGAAGACCCUUGCAAGCCUUGUAACACUAGCACAGAGGGGCAGGGGUGAAAGGACAUAAAUGAGAACAUUUUACAGGGCACUUUGGUAGCAAACCACACAGAUAAGAGCCGUAGAAUGCACCAGAGAGAGAGAACAAAAUGAGUGAUAAUAUGGGUGGAGAUGCAAGUGCUUGUUCCCCGUGGAGCAAGGAAACACUCCCAACUGUCCUGCUGGGUGCUUGAACUAAAUUUUUUGCAGGCAGGAUAGGGUUGGUUCCAGUAUCAGCAAAGGAAGCUUAAAUCUCUCGGAGGGUCCUGGAUCCCUGGAAAACCUCUGGAGUGUUAUUGCCAGCUAUGUAAUGGAUGAGAUGCAGUCAGUGUGAAGCAAUCUUGUAAAGUGAUGUGAAGGGCACUUUGACUGCUGGAGGAGGUAGGGCAGAGUCAUUCCUUUCAGAAUUCCUUUCAGGUUGAUGGAGUCUGUAGCAUCUCCCUAUGUUCUUCCUAUUUGGAAGCCUGCAGCAGCAGAGGGGAUGUCUUGUCCCUUGGUGGAGUCAAAGGUUAUCCCUCUCUUGCAGUAGCAGGAAUAUUGGUGGAGAGAAAUAGAGCUGCUCCUUGUGAAAGAGUACAGAGCCUCAUUGAGAGGAGUGACUAGACAGCUGGCCACCUCCCUUGAUUUGGAAUGACAAACUGUAGAAGCACUUGACAUUAGAAAAGCAAAGGUCUCACCACACCCACAUACUUACUGGUGCCUCACCUGCCACAGGUAUGUGCAUUCAGUUUCAGCUAAAAAUAUCUCAACAGGUUGGAGGGGCAGGAAAUGUUUCUUUAUUGUGGCUACUCCAGAGGGGCUGGGUCAGAGGGUGUUUUUAUAACUGAAGUGGAAUAGGGAGUGUCUGGAGAUGUAUUUGGGCAAAACAGAAUUUACAGCCAGCUUAAAACAAAAUCUCUGAUCUAAUGAAACAUGAGGGGAAAAGAAUGAAGUGAGACCUGUCUCUCUCUGAAUAAAUGUUCAGAAAAGACCAGCACUGGUAUGUGCUUGGCUGCAUACUUUCAUACAACAACUGCUGCCAGUGUGUUUGUUCAGUCAGGAGGGCUUUUGAGGGGCAGUUCUGGAGCACACCCCUGCACCCUCUGGAGUUUCACACAGCAGGGAGCUGAGUGGAGGAUUAACCUCAGCAUGACGUAAGGUAGGAUUGGGCUAACACAAUUUGUCAUAUUUUUAUGGUUGAAACUCAGGUGAAGUUUCAAUGAAAGCUGUGUUCUCAAAAAAUGUUCAGUGGGGAUGUUUGCAGUUUGAAACAGUUCUGCACUUCCAAAGUCCAUAAUGAGAAGGUGAUUAUUUAUAUAUUUGUAAUACAUACAUCAAAUUAUGUUUUAUGGUUUUGAUUUUUAAUACUGUGUAGGUGAAUACUUGGGGCAAUAACAAAUAGGGAUAGAGUGUCUUUCAUUUAAAUGUUCUAGAGCUAACAGAAGUGGGUCAACCCUUCUGAGGGGAGAAGUAAAAUUAAACAUGGCUAUCAGCACAGAUAACUAACUUCAAGAUAAGUGACAAUAGCUGCAAAAUAGUAGCAGUCCCUGCAACCACCCAGGGGUCCAGUACAGGAGCUGCAUCGAACUGACCCAUCUGAAAAGGAUUUGGCCAUGUCAGUUCCCCAGUGCCAUGCACCUCCUGCCCAGGGGCUGCAAGGGAAGGCAAGGGCCAGAAAGCACAGCUGGCAACUAAAGUGGGCAAUCCAAUUUCUGUGGCAGCAGCCUGAGCCUAAUCUUCUAAAAGUAAUGAGGCACACAUGAACUCAUUCAAGGACCUGACAGCCCACCUGUCCCCCUGCCCCCAGAAAGGUAGAGAUAACUAAAGUGGGAGAGCUGAAUGCCAUGACUUUGUAGCAACACCACUAACUUGUGCUGAGAAGAGUGUCAGUUUAGGAGGAAUUCUCAGAUGUAAUUGGCAAUCUGGAAGGCCUUACUUUACAAAUCAGGACUGAAGUUAGUAAAAAUUCACAGUUCAAUCAAGCACAGAAGAAGGAAAAUAACAAGGAUACUUAAAAGCUCUUGAACAUACCUAAGAAAGAAUGGAAUUCAUUGUGUGACCUGUGAAAGACACAGGCAUGUACCAACCACUCUGGUGAUGUAUAAAUGUGAAGUUGUGGUUUGCACGCAAUGACAUGUAAGGAGCUUCUGUAAACAUUCAAGUGAGCAAUUAAUUAUUGUAAAUGUUGCAGAGUAAAGAGUGUAAAAAUCCA